UACGAAGGGGGCUAGCGUUGCUCGGAAUCAUUGGGCGUAAAGGGCGCGUAGGUGGUUCUGUAUGUCUGCCGUGAAAGGGUACAGCUUAACUGUAGCUUGUCGGUAGAAACUGCAGGACUUGAGGCUGGGAGGGGCUGGUGGAAUUCCCUGUGUAGCGGUGAAAUGCGUAGAGAUGGGGGAGAACACUCGUGGCGAAGGCGGCCAGCUAGACCAGUUCUGACACUGAGGCGCGACAGCGUGGGGAGCAAACAGG
rnacentral:rRNA from 1 species